ensembl:lncRNA
UUGGGUACUUCCUUUCCUAACUCUAUUCCUAAAGAGGAUCUCUGUCUUAAUCAGGAGAGGGGUUGGGAUUGUGAAGUUGUCUGAUAGUUGGUUUUGCCAUCCGUCCUCAUAGCAGCCAAGCAAAAUCUGUGACUCAACUAUAGCUUUUGCCAAAGUCUUAGCUAAGGCACGUCCAUAGCAUCUGUGGGUUCCAUGCUCCACGGUCACCUGGCUCCAGCCACAGGAUUGUCAGGAACCCAGGGGAAUCUUCUCACCUGAGUGGCCAGAGCUGCUCCAUGUGUCAGUGCUCAUCCCAGUGGGCAGGGCUAGAAAGAAGCAGGGAGGGUGUCAGUUCUUGUUGUUUCCGGAUCAUCAGGCUCCGUUCUAAAUGCCAAGGGCAGGUCAUGGUCACCGCAAGCCACAGACUGAGGAGAGACUCUGCCAAGGCUGGACGCAUUGGAAACCAGAACAGGGGUGUGAAAUGCCUGUCUCCUUUGGAUGGCUCUACGAUGCUGCACCUGUCUCUCAUCCGGGACCAGGAAGGAGGAAGUUAAACUUCAUGUGGAAGUGCCAUAGAAAUCCCAGAAGGCUGAGCCCCCACCCCCUACUGGUAAGGGGGAGGGGCCCUUUAUUCCUUUACAUGCUUGGGGACCCUUCUUGGGCUUCUUCUGUGUCUCUUCUCACAGGCGACUCUCCGGCCCCCUGCGUGUCACAUGUGACUGUAUGCUCACUCUCUGUCUCUAAAUCUAUCCUGCCCUCACGUGUGCACUGCACUUUGCCUCUGCUCUGAAUUUUUUGGGGGCAAGACCCUGAGGUAAGGAUUAAGAUACCUGGGCCCAGAGCAGUGCCAGGAAGUUGGACACUUAAGAGCCCCACUGGUGGGUGGCCGAGGUCCAGGAUGGCGACCUGGGAAGCUGCUCCUCUCUGCCUUCCUGGGAGCUUCCUUAAGGACACAGUUUCCAGCAAAGGCUCUGGGCGGAGCGAGCAGGGCCCUGCCCUUGCCUCCCUGGGGUCUCUGCCAGCUGCCUGCGCACCCCUGGAGCACACGGCACUGCUGCACCUGUGGUUGGGAUCCGGGGCACUCCAGGCGGCCCGGAGGCUGGGGCUCUGGUACUGAGUGUGUGCUGUGUGGCCAGCAGCCGUGGGAGCUUCUCCAACCGGCUUCCCCCUACCACGGCUGUAUGCUGUGGAAUUCAUCUUAGUGGAGAUGGGUGGAAGAGAGGUUUUUUUUUUUUUAAGGCUUAUUUAUUUAUUUUGAAAGUCAGUUGCAGAGAUGGGGGAGAGAGAGAGAGAGAGAGAGAGAGAGAGACCUUCCGUCUGCUGGUUCACUCCCUAGAUGGCCGUAAUGGCCAGGGCUGGGCCAGGCCAAAGCCGGGAGCCAGGAGCUUGUUCUGGAUCUCCCGCAUGGUUGGUAGGGGCCCAAGCACUUCCAUUGCUUUCCCAGGCCAUUGGCAGGGAGCUGGAUGGGAAGUAGGGCAGUCAGGCGUCACUGAUGGCAGCUUUAUUCGCUCUGCCACAGCGCCGGCCGCGGGAGAGAGGCUCUUGUUGGCUGUGAGAGGAGGGUUUCAGAUGUGAGGCAGACAGUGGCGGU